ACAGAAGCCUCAUGCAUCUUGACCAGGACGGUGGAUGCAUGGCUUACAUUGGUCACAACUUGUCAACUUGUAUGACUGAAAACUGAACAUCACAUUGAAUUGGACUCAAAGGCAAGACCUGAGGCAAAAUUCAUGUAAGGAGGGAGUUUGGGCGAAGCUUGAGGACUGCUGCCCGGAAGCGUAGAUUCAAGUUGCCCUGAAUACACCUCCUAUUAGCAGCUGUUACAGGUUCAGAAAAAGGAUGGAGGUAGAAAGUCCUCUCUCCCAAACACUAUGAUUGACACUGCAGAGUUCUGCAACUCUCGUACGAGGGAGAUUUCAUGAUGAUCUCAGUAACCGAUCAGAGAAUCAACGACUGACUUCGCUGAGGCACGGUGAUGAAAAGGUCAAGGUGGUCUGGUCUGAGUGAAGUCACAGCAAGAACCCUUGUCCAGGGCCAUUCUCACCUUUGGGGACAGCUCCUUCCCUGUAUGGUCCUCAUGUCACUGCACUUUCCUGCCUUGUUUCUUGCUGAAGCCAUUAUUUCUUAAUUCCUUAGUAGAUAUGCAGAGCGGACAUCCCAAAGAAGCUAGAAAAAUUGAUGAGCAGGGAACAGAUCAAAUCCUCUCCAUCAGUGGAAGGCAAUUCACGAGGGAAGAAGGCAAGACCAUGGGGUAAUUUUUCUGAGACUUGACAAUGUUUGCCAAGUAAAUAAAUCUGCCAUUUAACACUACGAUAAAAGCUGUCAUAGCCAGGGUAUUAGUGACUACUUGAGGUUUGAGGACAAUGAAGACAGAGUAAGAUAAACAUCCUUACUAUCCAGAAAAAAAAAACGGAACCAGAAGACAGCGCUUCUUACUAUCCACAAAAGAAAUGGAACCGCAAGACAGCCCUUCUUAUUUUUCUCCAUCUUCGAUGGUGAGGAAGAAUAAAAAAAAAGUUGCUUUUAAAGUAUAUUCAUUAAAAUCAAAUUCUAUUAUCAUACACACAAAAUAUUUACGUGAAACCAGCCACAAAAGAAUGACAAGGAACGCUACUGAUUUGUCCAUUCUGGGGGAUAAGAACACAGAUUCUUAUCUCACUCUUGUUAAAAGAAAACUUCAGCUGAAUUAAAUUUAAAGGAGUUUAAUUGAGCAAUGAAUGAUUUGCACAUCGGGCAGCCCCCAGAAUUACAGCAGAUUCAGAGAGACUCCAGUGCAGCCACGUGGUGGAAGAUUUAUAGACAAAAAAAGGGAAGUGAGGUAGAGAAACACCUGGAUUAGUUACAGGUUGGCAUUUGCCUUAUUUACACACAGUUUGAACAUUCAGCAGUGUAUGAGUGAUUGAAGUACGGCUGCUGGGACUGGCCGAGACUCAGCAAUUGUGACAGGUACAUACUCCUAAUUUAGGUUUUCAAUCUUGUCUACCUAUUAAGUUAGGCUCAGUUUGUUCACAGGGACUCCAAUACAGAAGUACGGAGUCCUUCUCAGGCCAUAUUUAGUUCGCUUUAACAAUUCCCCCUUUUUGGUCAUUUUAUCAGUUUUGAGAGAUUGAUCGAAACUUGAGUUAUUGAUGUCACUGUCACCAUUGGUCUUGAAACCCACUAGGAAGCAGAACAGUGAGUUUUGCAAAGGUAGGAACAAGGACUGAGUUGAGGAUACCACCUUAUGCUGGAAAGUCCUGUUUGCAAGAGAAAAACAAAACCUGGUCUAUUCUAGGACCCAUGUGUUUCCUUAAAGUCUUAAUUCGAUUAUGUCACAUUUAGCACGAAUGAUGCCAUUUUGGUUCGGUUUGGUCUGUUGGGACCUAGUGCUCAGUCCAAAACAAUGGCCUCCCAUCAUUUUGUUUAAAAAAUUCCCCCUUUGUCAGGUUGUCACUUAGGCAAGAGUGUGACCAAAACUUAGGAUGUUAGCGCCACUCUCCGUUACUAUCAUUUUGGAUUUCCAGUCUCAGCAUGUCACUCAUCGGUUUCGGUGUCCUCGUGGUCACACAUUUCUUUCAGCUCUUGUCAUUCCAGUUGAAGAGAGACCAUCUGACGUUCUAAAGAUGGCUUCAUGCAAACAUUUAAAACCUUUGAGAGAAUACAGUGCACCAGGGAGACUAUUCUUAUGACUACUGAGAGGGUUAACACCAAGAAUUUGGAGUAUGCUCCUUAGCCAGGGUCCCCAUAAACCAGACCACCUAAACUCAAAUAGACCAUUCUUUGACUUAACUCAGUGGUCUUUUCGUUAAUUCCCUACAACAGACUCUCUAUAACACCUGAUGUUUUCUCCAUAGGCCUUAAGUGCCAGCAUCUGCACAGGUACUUUCCUGUUUAGCCAAUUCUAUUUUUUAGCAAAUGAUGCCCUUCUAGAAGAGGGAAGGCCUCUUGGCAAUGGUCUCUUUAACCCAUGCUGUGGGUUAAGAGGAGUGAACCAAUGUUCUGCUUCUGAAUGAUUAUGAGGCACCAUAUGUACCAUUGAAGUUUCUCACCUAUGAUACACUGGGCCUUCAUCUUUAUCUAUCAAGUUAUAAGAUUAUCCAUGUAUAAAGCUGGCUGCAAAGCCCUUCACAAAUAAAAGUAUACCCCAUAAGUGCACAAAACAGACCCCCUUCUCACUUCUGUUGUUCACAGAGGCGGAAGCAACGGAAAAACAUUCAAAGAUAAGAGUCUCAUGAUAGUAAGAAGUCUUGAUCCAUGAUCUUCAGAAAGAGCUGCUCACAUCAAGGAUGCCAUCUUCUUCUGGGGAGAAACUUCCCUGAUUAGCUUUACCUUAAGGGUUUCAAUGGAUGUAGAGUUCCAAGAGUGACCCUGCUCAGUUGUGAGAUUAUGACCCCAAGGUUCAAGAUCCUGAUGUUUUGUUGCAGUGAUGAUGCCAAGGGCAGCGUUUCUCUGAUGUUCUCAGAAGAUCCCAUCUUUGGGUUCUAGAUUGUGAAGGGGUUGAUUGUCCUCAGUGAACCAUAAAAAGCUCUUUACCUGGUGAAAAUACACUGAUACAUAGUAAUCUACUGUUAUAACAUUAGCCCUCCUGCAUGGGAAAGCUUUAGUACAACCAGAACACAUACAUUGAAAAUGACAACUGAAUGAAACCCCUUUAUAAAUGUUUAAAUGCCUCAUCAGGUAGCCAAAUGUACAUGAAGCUUUGAUUGACUUCCCAGGAGUAUGGGUUUGACAAACUAAACAUUGUUUAUAAACUAUUUUAACAAUCUGUAAGUCACCACACCAACAUAUUUAAUUUGGAUCAUUUUAUCUUUUCCAGGAUGAGUCAUGGAAUGCAUAACUUUUAAUAACAAAAGCUUUAAGGACUCACGAAGGACAAGGCAGCCAUCUUGGUUCUCCAUGAGUCCAUGCUUAACAUCGGACUUAUGUCCUCUUGGGUGCCAGUUGUUUCUCCAAAUUGGGCACAUAGCAUGGAUAACUGAUGGGUUAUCACAGGGGAUGGAAAAAUCUCAACAAAAAAGGAGCGCAGAAGAGCCUGGCUAGGCGGGAGAACACGGUCAGGCCCGCAGGAGACGCCGCGGCACCUGCCAGAAAGAGAGCCGCAGGCCAAGACCAGGAGACGCGAGAGAGGUGGGCAGGGCUGCCCGAGAGACCCAGGCGGCCAUUGCCCGCCCUGCGUCUGCGCCUGCGCCGGAGCCUCCUCCACACUGCGCCAGCGCCGAGUCCGGCCGCCUCCUCAUUGCGCCGGCGCCGGGGCUUCCUCCACACCGCGCCUGCGCCGAUGACAACCCGCCUCUACAGGACGCCUGCGCAACGCCAUAGUCACCUCAUCAGCUCCGUGCACUUACGAGUCUCUCUCUGAUCGACCACGUGUUCCUGUCGGCUCACAGAGGCCGCCUCAGGGUCCUCCCCCAUUGUCUUCCUCGCACCCUCCACUGUUCCCGGCCCUUCACUCUGCGCUUGCGCAGGAGUCGCUCGCUCCUCUCUGCGCCUGCGCAGAGGCCACCUCCUCCCCGCCCGUCCGCUCCCUUGGCGUCGUCUUGGGCCGCGCCCCGACCCCUUCUGUUUACGCAUGCGCAGGAGCCGCCCUGCGCGGGUGGGGGGCUGAGCCCCUGUGGCUUCAGGUUUAAAGGCGCGAGCGCCACCCACGCAGGCACAAGGGCUCCUAGUCGUUUUAUUUUUAGCGUAAGGUUUUCCUCUUUAACAAGGAAGUAAAAAAAAAAGUUGUGCAAUAAAUAUUAAUCGUCCUUAUAUGUACUCGGGAACGUUCGUCCUUUAGGUUUUCUCCUGGCGCAUGGGCGCCGCCAAUCAUUUCGGGGCUUAUUUUGGUUCUAAAGCCCGGGGCAGCCAGGCCUCCCUGCCUGGCCUCGGCGGGGACGCGGGACCUGGGGCCCCGGACCGGGCCUAACCGCCCUGGCCGGUCCCCACUGAUGGUGGCGGUCGGUCCUGAUCGUCCUGAUGGCAGCGACCAGGCUGGACUCGGGCUGUGCAGGGGCGAGGGGAGCAGGGCGGGGUGACGCCCGGAGAGCGGCCUGGAGAGCGCGUGCUUCAGAAGGCGUGGGCACCCUGUCCCCUUUGCAGAUGGGGAUGCAGGCCCUGGUGGCGGUGGAGGGGAGAUGGGGGCAGGGACGUUGCCGGGCAGAGGAAGCUGGAAGUUUGGCUGCUGUAACUGACUGGGAAGCUUAAAAUAACAGACAAUCAUCUCUCACAUUUAUGGGGACUGGGAAGUCCAAGACCAAGUUGCCAUCUGGGGAGGGCCUGUUCCUCACAGCGCCUUCCAGCUCAGGCCUCGUUUAUAAGGGCACUCAAGCCUUCCACGACAACGGGUCCUCAUGACUUACUCACCUCGGAAAGCCCCACCCCCAAGACCAUCACAUUGUGGGUGAUGGCAGAGCAUAAGGUGCCUUCCCCACAUGCUCGGGUUGGCCCAGCGUCUCACGCUAGCAGCUACGUGGAAUAGUUAUUUUUUCUGGAGAACUCUGGGACCCCUCUGAUGUCUUGGAGCACCCACACAGGCCGUUCACUGUGCACGCUGUGAGGCUGUCGUCUUGGAGCACCCACACAGGCCGUUCACUGUGCACGUGGUGAGGCUGUCCUCUGGGGAGUUCUGCUGUUGUAUGGGUUCUGUCUGUGUCAAUGUCCCAGCGGGAACGCAGGGCACACUAGCGUCAUCCCCAGAGGGCUUGGUAAGGGGACUGUUUGCAGAGACAUAGGCAGAGGGCUGGAAAACUACCAAAAAAGUGCAGUGUUCUGGACCUAAUAAUAGCAGAGCUAUUCUCACCCUGGUCUGAAGGCAGGAGGGGAGGAGCAGUUAAUGGAUUCUGGAAGUCAGGUUGCACAGAGUCACCUUGAAAGAUGCCAUGACCUUCACCGAGGGCCAGACAGAGACUAAGAUGACCCCAUAGGAGAAUAAGACCUAGACCUCAUCCUCCUGCCUCCUGCCAGUCCCUGCCAGGGGUCGCCAAUGGCAAAACAGGACUGGAAGCCAGAGGCCAUGGAAGCCCAUGGAUGAAGUCCACAGGCCAGCCUCCCCGAGAGCAGCCUGGACGGUCCGCAGGAGACGUCUCCUGUCUUAGGCGUCCCACGCCGCGUGCUCCUGUUCAGCCCUGCCGAGGUGGAAGCUUGGAGUGGCUCACGGUGGAUGCAUUGACGCUGCAGACGCCAGCAAGUGCUACAAACCAGAGCUGGCCUUUAACUCAGACUGAUGGAGAAGGUGUUAAUAAUGCAGAUUAGACUUAAAAGUGUUGAAGCCAUUGCACUGUGAACAGCAAAAAAAUUGAAGAACUCUUCUGGCAUUUAAAAACAAUUACUCAGUUCAGCAGAGAAGUCACUGACAAACGAGAUCACACUGACUGCUUUGUCGUUUUGGUUUUGUCUUACUCAUUAAUGCAAAUAAGAACAUUCACUAGCAUCUGUGUCGGGCCUACCCUCCCUGGUCAAAUACAGCUACAGUCUCCCUGCAGAAACGAGUUUUCCAGAAAUGAGCCGAUGUUUUCUGCGAGAAUCAAUUGGUCAUAUACAAUUUACAAAAAUGAGUACUGUAUACUAUAUUUGUAAACUGUACACUGCAGAUGCUUUAUUUCACUGAAAUUUAUAAUACACUUAUCCAUGUAUAUGCAUGCAUGCAUUUUUGUUCCUGAGAUCCAGCUGUGAAAUGUUUACCAGCACAUAAAUUACCAGCACAUGCUCUUUUUUGUUAACCUACUAGGUAAAAUCUUCAUUUAUUACAUCAAAUUCUUGUAGUUUUUGUAUUGCAAUUAUGCAGAUAUUGAUUAUCGCAGUAUUACUGCAAUUAUACAGAUACCACAAUUUCAGAUAUUGAUCAGCGUGUUCAGUUGGUUUCUAAGGAGGUUUACUUACCUCAUGGUACACCUAGUUUGCAUAGUUUGAUUAUAUUUAACUCUUAUGCUAAUUGGGGGAAGUCAUUGAUUUAUUGGACAGAUGCACCUGUGGUCUUCCCUGAGCACAUCCUGGCCAAGGAUGCUGCCCCCAGGAGAUUUGAGAAGUCCUGUAAGGAUCAUAUCAGUAUUUUCAAAUACUUAUAGAAAAGCCAGAGGGAUUGACCCAGAAUUACCAAUAUAAGCUUGACCCUGAGAUAACAAUGCCAUUUUAUGUUUGCAUGCAUAAAACCAAUGCAAGAGGCUGAUGACUCCAGAUCCCUUAUAUAAGCCAAUAAAAAGUAGUUUCAUUUUUUAUUUCAUUUAAAAAAGUGUACCAUUAACCUAAAGCCUGCUUGUAAAACCAGUUUGUUUCUGAAGCAUUAGCUCAAAGCUCACUUGCAUUUGGUGAGAAGUCCCUCACGUGUGGCUGCCCUGGCUGGGAGCUCUGAGCUCUGGGAGCCAUUGGAACUGCUAAUCCCACCAGUGCCGUCUGAUUCCCUCUGCUCUAAUGGAGGUCUUUUGCCGGGUAUCCAGUGGCAUUUUCUGGGCUUGGGAGUCAGUAAUUCCCAGUGAUCAAGUGUCUCUGCUCUGAAAAUGCCUUUCUUUGUGAUAUGAAGCUGUCAGUGAUGGAGACUGACCUUUUCAUAAGUCAGUGAAUUUAGUUUCUUUCUCCUCAGCAGUGUCUGGGGGCUGGUCCUCAGCC
rnacentral:lncRNA from 1 species